UGGGGAAUUUUGGACAAUUGGGCGAAAGCCUGAUCCAGCAAUGCCGCGUGUGUGAAGAAGGCCUUCGGGUUGUAAAGCACUUUUGUCCGGAAAGAAAUCCUUGGCUCUAAUACAGUCGGGGGAUGACGGUACCGGAAGAAUAAGCACCGGCUAACUACGUGCCAGCAGCCGCGGUAAUACGUAGGGUGCAAGCGUUAAUCGGAAUUACUGGGCGUAAAGCGUGCGCAGGCGGUUUGCUAAGACCGAUGUGAAAUCCCCGGGCUCAACCUGGGAACUGCAUUGGUGACUGGCAGGCUAGAGUAUGGCAGAGGGGGGUAGAAUUCCACGUNUAGCAGUGAAAUGCGUAGAGAUGUGGAGGAAUACCGAUGGCGAAGGCAGCCCCCUGGGCAAUACUGACGCUCAUGCACGAAAGCGUGGGGAGCAAACAGGAUUAGAUACCCUGGUAGUCCACGCCCUAAAACGAUGUCAACUAGUUGUUGGGGAUUCAUUUCCUUAGUAACGUAGCUAACGCGUGAAGUUGACCGCCUGGGGAGUACGGUCGCAAGAUUAAAACUCAAAUGAAUUGACGGGGUCAUAGCUGUUUCCU
rnacentral:rRNA from 1 species